GACGAACCGUGCGACCGUUAUUCGGAAUCACUGGGCUUAAAGGGCGCGUAGGCGGGCAGUCAAGUCCGGGGUGAAAUCCCACGGCUCAACCGUGGAAGGGCCUUUGAUACUGGCUGUCUCGAGGGAGGUAGGGGCGUGCGGAACUUCCGGUGGAGCGGUGAAAUGCGUAGAUAUCGGAAGGAACGCCGGUGGCGAAAGCGGCGCGCUGGACCUCUUCUGACGCUGAGGCGCGAAAGCCAGGGGAGCAAACGGG
rnacentral:rRNA from 1 species